rnacentral:rRNA from 1 species
CCUACGGGAGGCAGCAGUGGGGAAUAUUGGGCAAUGGGCGCAAGCCUGACCCAGCAACGCCGCGUGAAGGAAGAAGGCUUUCGGGUUGUAAACUUCUUUUCUUGGGGACGAACAAAUGACGGUACCCCAGGAAUAAGCCACGGCUAACUACGUGCCAGCAGCCGCGGUAAUACGUAGGUGGCACGCUUUAUCCGGAUUUAUUGGGUGUACAGGGCGUGUAGGCGGGAAUGCAAGUCAGAUGUGAAAACUAUGGGCUCAACCCAUAGCCUGCAUUUGAAACUGUAUUUCUUGAGUGCUGGAGAGGCGAGCGGAAUUCCGUGUGUAGCGGUGAAAUGCGUAGAUAUACGGAGGAACACCAGUGGCGAAGGCGGAUUGCUGGACAGUAACUGACGCUGAGGCGCGAAAGCGUGGGGAGCAAACAGGAUUAGAUACCCCAGUAGUC